rnacentral:rRNA from 1 species
AGUCACUGACAUUAGAUACCCGGGUAGUCCCAGCCGUAAACAAUGUGCGUUAGGUGUGUCGGUAACCACGCGUUACUGAUGCGCCGAAGAGAAAUCGUGAAACGCACCACCUGGGAAGUACGGUCACAAGGCUGAAACUUAAAGGAAUUGGCGGGGGAGCACCACAACAGGUGGAGCCUGCGGUUUAAUUGGAUUCAACGCCGGACAUCCCACCGGAUAAGACAGCUGAAUGAUUGUCAAUCUGAAGGUUUUACAUGACUAGCUG